UAGGUUUUAUUUAAGGAAAGAAAAUAUCAUAUCAUAUCAUUAUAUCAUAUAGUUUGACCAACUUAUGUAUCUAACAACAUAUAAAAAUCGAAUGUGGACCUACUUAUUUUUCAAUUGAAUGUAAUUGACUACCUAAUUGAGUGCCACCUAUGCAUUGGGACCUCUUUUAAUUAAUACAAAAUUGAGGUUACAUCUUUUCAAAUGUUCCUCAAUCAAUAUAUAAGGGAUACCAGUUUAUUUCUGUCAAGUUCGCUUAUUGUUAUUGUUCUAAGCUUUAUUUUGAACAUUAUCGCAGCCGUUUCCGUAAGGAUGCAAUAUCCUUUUUAAGGAAAAAUUAGAAAUAUAGGACACUUUAAACUUUGAUUUGUCACAAUAAGAUUUUGUCUAAGUUUUUGUCCUAUUAAGAUUUUAAUUAAUGUUAAUACGAUUAUACCCUUAGAUUAUUGAAAUUUUAAUUUAAUUAAAAUAUAGAAUGUUUAUUAAUUAUAUUUAUUUAUAAUUGUUUUUACAUUAGAGAUGGAAAGAAAAAUCAAAAGCAUUAUCAGUUACGUAAUUGUGUCUGUUUCAUUCUUUCUUCUUCCACAAUUCAAAGCACGAUAUUUUUUCACAAAUACCUUUAUGAGGUUUCUGUUCUCAUCUUCUUCUUUAUCUUCUCAGAUUAUUGUCUUCAUCUUUACUUGAUAUCCUUCUUAGCCUCUUUGAUUUCGCAUUGUGUCAUGUGAAGAUGGUUUAUAGCAUCUUCGAUUUUAUUUCGUAUUUGAUUUGAUGGGUGAUUUUCUUUUGUUCUUGAUUAGAUCCUUUGUUAAAGGCGGCCAUUAAAUCGGAGUCACCAAAAUUAUUCACGUUUUUAAGUUUUGAAAGCUUGAAAUUGGAAGAUACAUGCUAAAUCUACAAAUUUAAACCAUACCCAGCAAAAAAAAUGCAAAAAUAAUGGACGAAAUCAAUCAAAGAAUGCAUGGUGGCUCUGUAAAAAUAUCUCUGUAACCCUAAAAACUGUCAAGAAAGAUGAUGACUUAUUUACGGUUAUGCCAUUAAUGAAAAUAAACACUAAAAAGAACAAAAUGCGCUUCUUGGGGAUCGAACCUGACAACCAUGCAACAUAAACCUACCCAAUUCCCAGUAGGCCCCAUCAAUAAAUAAUGUUCUCUAUACAAAUCACUAUGCAAUAUAAACAAUUUUCUGAAAAUUGAAAAACGGUGUUUAAAAUUAAUCCCCGAUUAAUCGGUAUUUAGUAAAGAUAUUUAAAAAAAAUAUGGAACUUCCAGAUUUUUGGUUUAGACUAAAUUUAUUAAAGAUAUUAAAUAAAAUAUUCUUUGAGAGAUUUAUGAUGUUAUAUAGUUUAGAUUCAGGAAACAUCUUCAAUUGAAUAUGAAAGUUUCCAUAUUUUCCGGAUUUACCUAGAAUAUGUAUACUAGCUACGCAGAACAAAAUAUAGUAGGCGAGAAACAUAUUCUUCUUUAAGGCGUCAUAUAAGGUAAAAGGCAGAACAAGUUAUGUCACGUAAUAUAACCGACAUAUAUCAUUGAAUUGUGGCUAUAUAUCGUUAUCAAACUGUAGGUAGACCGAAGACAUCUUUCUUGAUUAUAACGUAAUCAAUUCUAUCUGUGCUAGAUUAUACAAGAAAUGUUAGUUUACAGUAUAUACCCUAGAUAUAUCUAUGUUUAAAACUUAGAAUCACACAUAUAAACUAGGUAGAUUACUAAAAUGAAUUUUCUAACUGUACCUAGAAGAUAAAAUAAAAUAUGAUUCCAAUUUUUUUUUAAAGUUUAAACAUAUAUAUUGUCAUACUUAUGUUUCCAACACUUUUUAUAUUUUUUUACAUUUUUAAAAUUCAAUUUACUAUUUUUCUCAUUAAAAAAGGGUAAAACAUGUCCAAAAUUGUCAAAAGUAUGAGAAGUCUUAUUGUGACAGACAAAAGUUCAAAGUGUCCAAUUUUUUCAGUUUUCCCUUUUUUUAAUUUGUGUUCUAUAAGGCUGCAUCUAAAUUAUUGUUUUUUGUAACUUUUUACUGCAUUUAGCAUUACAUUGAGUUUAGUUGGAUCUUUUGUAUCAACAUUCGUUCGAUUUCUGUCUUUUAGGGCUUUCAUUUUUUCUAGGGAUUUUUGCCGAUAAGGAACAAAAAAAGCAUAUCUUUGUCCCCUUACAAUAAAAAACCCAAACUUUGUCCCUUUAGAACAAAAAAAAAUGAAAAACCUGUUUUGUCCUUUUUAAUAAAAUAGGUUAAUAGUAAGAAGUAAAAAACAAACGGAUUCAGUGAAAAAUUGCUUCACUUUCUUUGUCUCCGACUCCCGUUUCAUAAGGAACAAAAGGCGAUUCCGCCGUCGACUCUCUCUUUAUUUUAUCCGUUCAAGUUCGUCGGAGACGACGAUAUCGUCGUCACAUCUCUCCUUCGUCCUCCUUCUGUCGUCUUUACUCUUUUUGAAUCAUCGAUUACAGAGAAUUGAAGGUUAGGGUUUGGAAAUCCCCUUUCUGAUUUUUUUCCGUUUUUGUUUACGUGCAUGUAGUAUAAAGAGCAUGAAUUGUUUAAAAAUACAAAUCGAAUCGCAUUUUGAUUUUCGUUUGUGGGUUGAGUUGAUUGUGAGGUCAUCGUAGUUCUUGUUCUAUACGAUUCUGAGUUAUAUUUUGUUUGGUAUUGAAUUUGCUUUGUGUUUUGAAUUCGUAAUGGACUUAAAAGGCUAAUGAGUUGAUGUUUUGAUUUCAUGUUUUAUAGGAAUGGAUUACCAGUUUCCAAAACGCUUUAUUGAAGAAGGAGCUGAGACCAAGAUUGAUAAGAUUAACAACACCUGUAGGCGCACGAUUCUGGGGACGCUGAAGGUGGUUCUCAGGGAUGAGUAUCAAGAAGUUUUGAAAGACCCUGUCUUCGGUCCGAUUCUGGCAAUCGUAGAGAACAAGCUUAUUUACUCAGGAAAGGUUAUUCACAGUUUCAUAUUCAAGCAGCUCAAGGUUUCCAAGCUUCACGAGUUGUGGUUUCUAUUUGCAAAGAGGCCUCUCAGGUUUUCUAUGCAAGAGUUUUAUGCUGUGACUGGAUUGAAGUUCAAAGAAGAACCCGACGUAGACUUCAAUAACUGGAAGAGUGAUAAGGGGUUCUGGAGCACGGUGCUGAAGGAAAAUAAGAAGAUCAACUUAUUGGUUAUAAGGGAUGAGCUCCUUAAAGUCUGUAAGGAGUGGACGUAUGUGGACAGGGUGCGACUAGUGUAUCUGUGUAUAAUACAUGGAUUCGUCAUUGCGAAGGAUUUGAGAGUGUUUAUCCCUCACGAGUUCAUCCGUUUGGUGAUGGAUUUUGAGAAAAUGAGGAUGUAUCCUUGGGGUCUUCGCGCCUAUGAUGAGCUGCUUGCAUCAAUAUUCAAAGCAAGGGAAGAUGUGCAUCUGAAGAACAGCUAUGUAUUGGAUGGAUUCUCAUAUGCGUUUCAGAUAUGGAUUAUGGAGGCAAUCCCAGACAUCGGUUCUAUGGUGGGUAAAAAGAUCAAAAACAACUUGACGAAAGUGAGAUGUAGGAAUUGGAAAGGAAGUGGAAAAGUAUCAUAUCAAGAUAUCACCAGCCUAGAGUCCAACUUUGAUAAGGGAGAGCUGUUCCCGUUUAUAUCAUCUACUGGAAGCUUGGAUGCAACUGAUAAUGCUGAGUUCUUUAGGGAAGAUGAGAAGAAUGACGAAAGAGUCAAUCGCAUUGUUGCUCUGAUCAGUGCCAAACAAGACUGGAAGCAAUUCACUUGGGAAGUUGAGACUCUGCCUCCAAAUAUGGAGUUAUCUGACGCAGAAGAGGAUGUCGAAGUUGAAAAUGUCACAGAAACACCUGUGGAGGAACCGGCUGUUGUUGAAGAGGAACCAGCUGUUGUUACAAAAAGGGGGAAGCGUAAGCUAAUUGAUCCUGGUGUCGAGUCUCGAAAGAAACAACUUCUUUGUCAAAGAGCGGCUGAACAUAACAGUGUUGUCUCCGGUGAUAUGAAGACCUUCAUUGAAGGUUUGUUCAACUCUUCUUUCAAUUCUUUUAAGGAGCUGCUGCAGAAGGACAUACAAGAGCGUUUUGACAAGGUCGACAAUGAGAUGGCUCAACUGAAGGCAACAGUGUCGCAGAUUACGGGUCCUUCAGUUGCAGUGGGACGAGACAUAGCAUCUGAGAUUCUCUGUCCUUCUGCAACACUUGGGAAAGAGCAAGAGAAAUCAUCACAGAGUCCGGGUCCUUCAGGAGCAAAGGGAAAAGGCAAAGGCAAGGCAUCUGUGAGUGUUGAUCCUCCUCCGCUUCGUCGUAGCCCUCGGCCAGUAAGAAAGGAAGUUAAAACUGAUGACGAUGACAUGUUUGAUUUUUUGAAGAAUUUGUCACAAUCAUCGACCUAUGUAGAUAAGGGGACACAAGAAUUUUUACAAGACGCCGUGGGAAACCUUUCUCAAGCAUCACAUGUUAAAGGCUUUGAUCCCUCACAAAAAAUCAAGGACGACGAACCAGCAGAAUGGGUUACUCCACUGUCUUCAUUUAAGCCUCCGAAUUGGAAACCACCUACUCUAAAAGAUGAGGAAUUACUUGAGGACCGGGUGCAUGACAUUGAUCACUCACUAGUGUUUGUCCCUGAGGAUGGAUGGGCCAAAAUAAUUGAGUGGUCCUCAACUUCCAAUGAACUGAAAAUUGGACCUUCUAUGUUAACAAGUGUGUUAGCAGCACGCGUCAUGGGACCUACAGAGUGGCUUUUGAAUCACGAAAUUGAUGCUAUGAUGUACUUAUUCACUGAGAGGACUACUUUGCGACGAUGGGAACCAACAAAAGUAGCAUUCAUGAGCUGCAUGUUCAGUAAUCAAAUGAAGACCUCUUUCGAUGAGUUUCGGAAGGACAAGAAGAAAUUCAAAGUAUCUGAAUUGCUUCACCGGUACGGCAUUGGUGAACUUCCACCACACGGACGAACAGGACUGACGUGGGAUCUUGACGUCACACGCAUGUAUGUGCCUCUAAAUGUCGGUAAACACUGGAUCUCUAUGUGUGUCAACUUUGUUUCUCGGUCGAUAGAGGUCUUUGACUGUGAGGGAUUGAAAUACAACAAGGAAGUAGAGCCAUUUGCCAUUCUCAUCCCUAGGAUUGUCAAAUCUGUUCACUCAUCAAAGAAUCGGCAGCAACUCAAGGUCAAGCAAUAUACUGUCAGUUACGCCCCAAUGCCCUACUUAUUAAACAAGAGUAGCAGUGAUUGUGGAGUGUAUGCCUUGAAGCACAUUGAAUGUCAUCUUCUAGGCUUGGAUUUCGCCCUGGUGAAUGACAACAACAUUCGAGAAGCGCGCCAAAAGAUUGUUUACGACCUAUGGGAAGCUGCCAAUGAUCCUGAGCUUAUUUUGAGAAUGGCACAAUACACUCCUCCAAAGACGAUCACAAAUCCUCUAGUGGAACUUGAUUGAAGUUCUUUCGUUUAUUACUUGUUAAGGAAAUAGGUUGUUAUUGGCUCUCUUAUUUGACUCUUGAAUUUGAUUCUUGUAGUUACUCUUUAGUUUUUACUUUAUUUGAAACAUUUAGUUGUUCGAUUUAUGUGUUGUGACAAUGCUUAUUAACCCCUAAAUAUUCCCUAAAUGAGUGGUAUGCGAAGACAAUCCUUAUCAACCACUAAAUAUUUCCUAUUUGACACUAAAGUAAGACAAUUCAUUUGAAACCUUAUUUAUGCUCUAAAUGCCACUAAAGAAUGACAAUUCUUAUCAACCCCUAAAUAUUCCCUAUUUGACAUUAAAGUAAGACAAACCAUUUCAACCCCUAUCUAUGCCCUAAACGCCACUAAAGAAUGACAAACAUUAUUCAACCCCUAUGUAUACCCUAAAUGCUACUGAAGUAUGACAAACGAUCUCAACCCAUUGAAUCCACACAAACCUUUUAAAUCAGAAAAAGAUCUUACUAAUCAAGACAAAUCUUAAUAAUCAAAACACAUACAACUUUACCCUAACUUCCAACCCGAGAGGAAGAUUGUUUGACCUAAAAAAAUCUUAUAUAAGACCAUCAAAUGGCCUGAAACCCUAUAUAUUCCAUCGUUUGUUUCUCCUACAUCUCGAAAAAAACAUCUCGUUCCUCCUCAACAAAGAAUGACGAACAUGAAUCACAAUGAAGGGAUCCCUUCCAGAUGCUGGUGUGGGAAGGGGAUUGUCACAUAUGUUUCAAAAACAGAAGAGAACCCAUAUCGACGGUUCUUCAGAUGCGAGAUUGGGAUACAGAGAAAGAACGAAAUCCAUCUUUUUAAGUGGGUAGACGAGGCUCUGUUAGAUGAGAUUCAGAGGAUGGAUGAGCAUCAAACGAGAAUUGGCGAGGAAAUUGAAGAUCUGAGAAGUUCCAUGAAGAAGACAGUUGAGGAGGAAGUUAUGAAACAUAAGAAUUCGAUUGUACGUGCCUAUGACUUCGUUUCCCAGGAAAUCCGUGCAAUGUAGGUUGUUUAGGAUCCAUUCUCACUAUUUUAUGUCUCUGGUCCAAACGUGAUUGAUAAUGUAAUGGUUCUCUGUUUAAUGUUAAAAUAAAACUUCUAU